rnacentral:rRNA from 1 species
UAUCUCUGUAGAGUCUGCAUAUCAAUAAGCGGAGGAAAAGAAACUAACUAGGAUUCCCUCAGUAACGGCGAGUGAAGCGGGAAGAGCUCAAAUUUGAAAUCUUCAAGGUUCUACCUUGACGAAUUGUAGUUUAAAGAAGUGUUUUCUGUUGGAGUUUCGGUAAAAGUUCUUUGGAAUAGGACAUCAUAGAGGGUGAGAAUCCCGUAUUUGACCAUUAUUUCAACUGUGUGAUACACUUUCAAAGAGUCGGAUUGUUUGGGAAUGCAGUCCAAAAUGGGUGGUAAAUUUCAUCUAAAGCUAAAUACUGGCGAGAGACCGAUAGCGAACAAGUACCGUGAGGGAAAGAUGAAAAGAACUUUGAAAAGAGAGUUAAACAGUACGUGAAAUUGUCAAAAGGGAAGCGUUUGACACCAGUGUUGCUUUCUCGAAAAUCAAUUAAAAAUGAUUGGAUUUUGUGUUGUAUUGACUUUAUCAGCUUUCAGCACUCUUUUUCUUGUCUUUUUUAAUGCACUUUUCGCUUAACAAGUCAACAUCAAUUUCUUUUGUUGUAAAAGAGUCAUUGGAAGGUGGCUUUCUUUUCGGAGAAAGUGUUUAUAGCCUUUGGCCUCUGCAAUCGGAGAGAUUGAGGUCUGCAGCGUAGAUCCUUCGGGGUUAGAUACAUUUGUGCUAAGUUAUAGCCUUUCAUAGACAACUUGUUGACUAUGAUCAGUCAUGUAGCUUACUCGCUUAUGCUAUUUUACCUACGCUUAGGAUGUUGAUCUCUCACAGUCGAGC